rnacentral:sRNA from 1 species
GACUGGGGCAAUACCUACCGACUGCGCUCUCUAGACAAUCAAUCAACUAACCUUCCAACCACAUGCAAUCAUGCCACCAUGCGUCCUUCCGACAUAACAGCACAUUCUAAGAAAUAUAUAUUCAAAGGCUGUAUUGUGAGAAGGGCAAAAGAAACAAAAGAAAGGAACAUGUGAUGUAAAAAAAAAUCUAAAGCUGGUAAAUUCUCACCAUCUACGUCACUUUGUUUAUAACAGCAUCAAAAGAAACCAUGAAGCCCUGUUGAUGAUUUCCAUUUCUGCUCCCCGAUUACAUACCGCUCAACUAGUUUUUGACAACUCCAGAAUGUCGACUUCAUCUCAACUUUCACCUGAGUCACACGCCCUCGUCGGGGCGAGAGGACUCGCCUCCCUUUGAGGUUAUGCUCGCGUCCGUGCUGCCUGACUAUCUCAUCAACCCUGAUGGUGCAGCCCAUCCUAUUUCUCCCGAGUAUCCCGUCUGCUCUUUUUUAACAGCACUUUGGCGGCUGUUGCGACCUUCACGAGGAUCCUAGACCUUGCAGAAGAACAAACAGUCAGAAGCGCCAAGAUCAUCGGUUACACUCUGGGCAAAGUGGGGAGGGAGUGUGAAUCAUGCAUAUAUAUAUCUUGAGGAAUAGGAUGCUAUUUUAAGGAUUUGAUCCUUUUUGGAGCAACUAGUGGCAAAGCCUUCCUACAAGAUUGCAUGUUUUACAGGGAGCCUAUCCUGCUUUGAUCGACGGUGAGCCUGGGCAAGUUGUUUCCGGAUCUGCGGAUAUUAUGGAGUUCGAAGAGUCGGCGCAAAAACUCGCCUGCUACGAGAUGAACGUGUGCAAGGUCGCUACUUUACUGGAUUUUCUUUAAUUUUCUCUACAGACAAUGGGUCGCUGGCAGAAGUACUACUUACUAUCUGGUAAGACAUUUAAGUACUAGUAUUCUGGGGACCCGAAAACCUCGCUAGACCAGCGAUUAAAUCGUCAACUUUGGACCUUGCAAAUGGGGCGCAGGGUGGGAUGAGUUUCUGUGGGAAUGUUUUGAACAUAUUGAAUGUAUUUCCACAUCUGAUUGAACGGAAUCAAUAAACGAAGAAGGUUGGAUAUCCUUAUUUGACACACUGUAGGAUAACUAUAACUAGAUAUCUAGAAAACAUCUGAUG